rnacentral:rRNA from 1 species
UAGCUAGUUGGUGAGGUAACGGCUCACCAAGGCAACGAUACAUAGCCGACCUGAGAGGGUGAUCGGCCACACUGGGACUGAGACACGGCCCAGACUCCUACGGGAGGCAGCAGUAGGGAAUCUUCCGCAAUGGGCGAAAGUCUGACGGAGCAACGCCGCGUGAGUGAAGAAGGUUUUCGGAUCGUAAAACUCUGU